rnacentral:rRNA from 1 species
GAUGAACGCUGGCGGCGUGCCUAAUACAUGCAAGUCGAGCGAACAGACAAGGAGCUUGCUCCUUUGACGUUAGCGGCGGACGGGUGAGUAACACGUGGGUAACCUACCUAUAAGACUGGGAUAGCUUCGGGAAACCGGAGCUAAUACCGGAUAAUAUUUCGAACCGCAUGGUUCGAUAGUGAAAGAUGGUUUUGCUAUCACUUAUAGAUGGACCCGCGCCGUAUUAGCUAGUUGGUAAGGUAACGGCUUACCAAGGCGACGAUACGUAGCCGACCUGAGAGGGUGAUCGGCCACACUGGAACUGAGACACGGUCCAGACUCCUACGGGAGGCAGCAGUAGGGAAUCUUCCGCAAUGGGCGAAAGCCUGACGGAGCAACGCCGCGUGAGUGAUGAAGGUCUUCGGAUCGUAAAACUCUGUUAUUAGGGAAGAACAUACGUGUAAGUAACUAUGCACGUCUUGACGGUACCUAAUCAGAAAGCCACGGCUAACUACGUGCCAGCAGCCGCGGGAAUACGUAGGUGGCAAGCGUUAUCCCGAAUUAUUGGGCGUAAAGCGCGCGUAGGCGGUUUUUUAAAUCUGAUGUGAAAGCCCACGGCUCAACCCGGGAGGGUCAUUGGAAACCGGAAAACUUGAGUGCAGAAGAGGAAAGUGGAUUUCCAUGUGUAGCGGUGUGAUGCGCAGAGAUAUGGAGGAACACCUGGUGGGGAAGGGGACUUUUUGGUCUGUAACUGACGCUGAUGUGGGAAAGCGUGGGGAUCAACCAGGAUUAGAUACCCUGGUCCUCCACGCCGUAAACGAUGAGUGCUAAGUGUUAGGGGGUUUCCGCCCCUUAGUGCUGCAGCUAACGCAUUAAGCACUCCGCCUGGGGAGUACGACCGCAAGGUUGAAACUCAAAGGAAUUGACGGGGACCCGCACAAGCGGUGGAGCAUGUGGUUUAAUUCGAAGCAACGCGAAGAACCUUACCAAAUCUUGACAUCCUUUGACAACUCUAGAGAUAGAGCUUUCCCCUUCGGGGGACAAAGUGACAGGUGGUGCAUGGUUGUCGUCAGCUCGUGUCGUGAGAUGUUGGGUUAAGUCCCGCAACGAGCGCAACCCUUAAGCUUAGUUGCCAUCAUUAAGUUGGGCACUCUAAGUUGACUGCCGAUGACAAACCGGAGGAAGGUGGGGAUGACGUCAAAUCAUCAUGCCCCUUAUGAUUUGGGCUACACACGUGCUACAAUGGACAAUACAAAGGGCAGCGAAACCGCGAGGUCAAGCAAAUCCCAUAAAGUUGUUCUCAGUUCGGAUUGUAGUCUGCAACUCGACUACAUGAAGCUGGAAUCGCUAGUAAUCGUAGAUCAGCAUGCUACGGUGAAUACGUUCCCGGGUCU